rnacentral:tRNA from 1 species
GCCCCCAUCGUCUAGUGGUUAGGACACGGGGCUUUCAAUCCCGUAGCAGGGGUUCGAUUCCCCUUGGGGGCG